rfam:Stegodyphus mimosarum contig108313, whole genome shotgun sequence.
GCUUUUGUAGUGCAGUGGUCAGCACGCUCGACGCGUAACCAAGAGCUCCAUGGUUCGAUUCCCGGCGAAGGCG